rnacentral:rRNA from 1 species
UAAGCGACUAAGCGUACACGGUGGAUGCCCUGGCAGUCAGAGGCGAUGAAGGACGUGCUAAUCUGCGAUAAGCGUCGGUAAGGUGAUAUGAACCGUUAUAACCGGCGAUUUCCGAAUGGGGAAACCCAGUGUGUUUCGACACACUAUCAUUAACUGAAUCCAUAGGUUAAUGAGGCGAACCGGGGGAACUGAAACAUCUAAGUACCCCGAGGAAAAGAAAUCAACCGAGAUUCCCCCAGUAGCGGCGAGCGAACGGGGAGCAGCCCAGAGCCUGAAUCAGUGUGUGUGUUAGUGGAAGCGUCUGGAAAGGCGCGCGAUACAGGGUGACAGCCCCGUACACAAAAAUGCACAUACUGUGAGCUCGAUGAGUAGGGCGGGACACGUGGUAUCCUGUCUGAAUAUGGGGGGACCAUCCUCCAAGGCUAAAUACUCCUGACUGACCGAUAGUGAACCAGUACCGUGAGGGAAAGGCGAAAAGAACCCCGGCGAGGGGAGUGAAAAAGAACCUGAAACCGUGUACGUACAAGCAGUGGGAGCCUCUUUUAUGGGGUGACUGCGUACCUUUUGUAUAAUGGGUCAGCGACUUAUAUUCUGUAGCAAGGUUAACCGAAUAGGGGAGCCGAAGGGAAACCGAGUCUUAACCGGGCGUUAAGUUGCAGGGUAUAGACCCGAAACCCGGUGAUCUAGCCAUGGGCAGGUUGAAGGUUGGGUAACACUAACUGGAGGACCGAACCGACUAAUGUUGAAAAAUUAGCGGAUGACUUGUGGCUGGGGGUGAAAGGCCAAUCAAACCGGGAGAUAGCUGGUUCUCCCCGAAAGCUAUUUAGGUAGCGCCUCGUGAAUUCAUCUCCGGGGGUAGAGCACUGUUUCGGCAAGGGGGUCAUCCCGACUUACCAACCCGAUGCAAACUGCGAAUACCGGAGAAUGUUAUCACGGGAGACACACGGCGGGUGCUAACGUCCGUCGUGAAGAGGGAAACAACCCAGACCGCCAGCUAAGGUCCCAAAGUCAUGGUUAAGUGGGAAACGAUGUGGGAAGGCCCAGACAGCCAGGAUGUUGGCUUAGAAGCAGCCAUCAUUUAAAGAAAGCGUAAUAGCUCACUGGUCGAGUCGGCCUGCGCGGAAGAUGUAACGGGGCUAAACCAUGCACCGAAGCUGCGGCAGCGACACUGUGUGUUGUUGGGUAGGGGAGCGUUCUGUAAGCCUGUGAAGGUGUACUGUAAGGUAUGCUGGAGGUAUCAGAAGUGCGAAUGCUGACAUAAGUAACGAUAAAGCGGGUGAAAAGCCCGCUCGCCGGAAGACCAAGGGUUCCUGUCCAACGUUAAUCGGGGCAGGGUGAGUCGACCCCUAAGGCGAGGCCGAGAGGCGUAGUCGAUGGGAAACAGGUUAAUAUUCCUGUACUUGGUGUUACUGCGAAGGGGGGACGGAGAAGGCUAUGUUGGCCGGGCGACGGUUGUCCCGGUUUAAGCGUGUAGGCUGGUUUUCCAGGCAAAUCCGGAAAAUCAAGGCUGAGGCGUGAUGACGAGGCACUACGGUGCUGAAGCAACAAAUGCCCUGCUUCCAGGAAAAGCCUCUAAGCAUCAGGUAACAUCAAAUCGUACCCCAAACCGACACAGGUGGUCAGGUAGAGAAUACCAAGGCGCUUGAGAGAACUCGGGUGAAGGAACUAGGCAAAAUGGUGCCGUAACUUCGGGAGAAGGCACGCUGAUAUGUAGGUGAAGUCCCUCGCGGAUGGAGCUGAAAUCAGUCGAAGAUACCAGCUGGCUGCAACUGUUUAUUAAAAACACAGCACUGUGCAAACACGAAAGUGGACGUAUACGGUGUGACGCCUGCCCGGUGCCGGAAGGUUAAUUGAUGGGGUCAGCGCAAGCGAAGCUCUUGAUCGAAGCCCCGGUAAACGGCGGCCGUAACUAUAACGGUCCUAAGGUAGCGAAAUUCCUUGUCGGGUAAGUUCCGACCUGCACGAAUGGCGUAAUGAUGGCCAGGCUGUCUCCACCCGAGACUCAGUGAAAUUGAACUCGCUGUGAAGAUGCAGUGUACCCGCGGCAAGACGGAAAGACCCCGUGAACCUUUACUAUAGCUUGACACUGAACAUUGAGCCUUGAUGUGUAGGAUAGGUGGGAGGCUUUGAAGUGUGGACGCCAGUCUGCAUGGAGCCGACCUUGAAAUACCACCCUUUAAUGUUUGAUGUUCUAACGUGGACCCGUGAUCCGGGUUGCGGACAGUGUCUGGUGGGUAGUUUGACUGGGGCGGUCUCCUCCUAAAGAGUAACGGAGGAGCACGAAGGUUGGCUAAUCCUGGUCGGACAUCAGGAGGUUAGUGCAAUGGCAUAAGCCAGCUUGACUGCGAGCGUGACGGCGCGAGCAGGUGCGAAAGCAGGUCAUAGUGAUCCGGUGGUUCUGAAUGGAAGGGCCAUCGCUCAACGGAUAAAAGGUACUCCGGGGAUAACAGGCUGAUACCGCCCAAGAGUUCAUAUCGACGGCGGUGUUUGGCACCUCGAUGUCGGCUCAUCACAUCCUGGGGCUGAAGUAGGUCCCAAGGGUAUGGCUGUUCGCCAUUUAAAGUGGUACGCGAGCUGGGUUUAGAACGUCGUGAGACAGUUCGGUCCCUAUCUGCCGUGGGCGCUGGAGAACUGAGGGGGGCUGCUCCUAGUACGAGAGGACCGGAGUGGACGCAUCACUGGUGUUCGGGUUGUCAUGCCAAUGGCACUGCCCGGUAGCUAAAUGCGGAAGAGAUAAGUGCUGAAAGCAUCUAAGCACGAAACUUGCCCCGAGAUGAGUUCUCCCUGACCCUUUAAGGGUCCUGAAGGAACGUUGAAGACGACGACGUUGAUAGGCCGGGUGUGUAAGCGCAGCGAUGCGUUGAGCUAACCGGUACUAAUGAACCGUGAGGCUUAACCU